CUUCUCCUAAGAUGCACAUUUUUUGCUUCAGCUUUGUUUGGUAUUUUCUGUUGAUCUGUUGAACAGAACUCGCAUUAUUGUGUUUUAAUGGAUGUUCAGGAAAGCCUGCUUGUGUUAACUUGCUUGUAUUAUUUCACAAAACCUUACACAUUUUAUAAACAAAACCCCAUAAAGGGAUAUUUUAACCCACCUAUUUGUCAUUGGGACUGCUUUCCAAUAGUUUUAAAUGCUUUUGGACUCUCAGGACGUGAUUUUGUUUGUUUUUCUCAAUUGAAUGAAGCUCUCUGUAAUGCCAGCCCACAAUACAAUUACAAUUUUAUUGAAAACGAUAAAUAUCAUACACUAGUAGUUGGUGUGUUUAGAUGUACUAUACAUGACCGAGAAUGAGAGAGUUUCUUUAAGAUUUUGUAGUGUAGAGAUUUACAAUUAUCACCUCACACAUUGCAGCAUCAUUAACGUACGUUACAGAAAGCCUCCAUUCGGUUAUGACAGAUGUUAGUGCUGCCAUCUUGUGGCUAGAUUAUACAAUGCAGUCCUUGAAUUGAAUGAAUAUAAAUUGUGUAAAUAAUUAAAAUUUUAAACAUACUUGUAUUUCAGCUACAUUAACUCAGCCAGUAAUGUUUAUAUCCAUGUGUCUACAUGUGUGUUUAGACUGGUAUGGUACGCUGUGAACACUGCUGUUGGGACACCUGAUUACAUUUCUCCAGAGGUUUUAAUGUCUCAAGGAGGGACUGGUUAUUACGGUCGUGAGUGUGACUGGUGGUCUGUUGGUGUUUUCAUUUAUGAGCUUCUAGUGGGUGAGAAGUGUCAGCUUCAUAUGCAUCUCUUGAAGUUUUAUUUCAGUGUUCUCAUAAUCAAAUGUUUUCUUCUGUCGAUCUGGGCAGGCGACACUCCAGUUCAUUCCGAGUCUCUGGUGGGCACAUAUGGAAAGAUCAUGGAUCACAAGAACAUCUUAACUUUCCCAGAUGAUAUUGAAAUGUCAAAGGAUGGCAAAGACCUCAUCUGUGCCUUUCUGAGUAGCAAGGAGGUGAGGCUUGGCCGGACUGGAGUGGAUGAAAUAAAAUGUCACCCCUUCUUCAAGAACAAUCAGUGGACCUUCGACACCAUAUGAGACAUUGCCCCAGGUUUGGAUCAGGUGUGAUGCCUGCUCAUCUGACCUUUGACCUCGACACUCAACUGCUGCCAGUUUUCUUUCAAUGCCAUGAGAUUUCUAAAUUCUACAUGCAGGAACCGAUGCAUUCUUUUUUUUAUUUUUAUUUCUUUAAACAAAACAGAUAUGGCAGACACGGCCAAACAUCGAAACUUUGGAGGACGUCUAGGAAAAAAAGCGCCAUAUCAUCAAGGGGAAUAAAAGCAAAAAAAUGCCAAAAACAGACACCCAAAACCCUACGCAUGCUGCGCGACACAGGGGCGUGAACCUGCAGGACCCAGACGCACAGUCCACUCGAAGCUGCUGUGGGAACUAAAGGCCUGUCAACACUCCAUCAUGGGAGACCACGACACCUUCUCCUCCCUAAAAUCCCACCCUUCACCCUUUCACCUCCCAAGACGGAUAAGGAAAGAGAAAGAAAGGAAUACCAGGAAGAGCUCGAGGAAAACGCCUCACUCGUGCCACAAAGAGAUUUUUCAAGGAAGACUUCUGGUGGACGGGGCUGAAAGCGAACGGACGAUGGACUCUGUCAUGUCUGGCAGUAAAUAUGGAUUCUGUAUUACUUUCAAGUCAACAAGAAUUUCCACCUCAGUUCAUCCUCAUUAUGCAAGCACCAUGUAGAGAUAAAGGAUUGGAAAAGAGAUAAAGGAACACAGAAUGGACUGAAGAGUUAUUAUUAACCAACAAACCUUCCCAUUCUCAGCCCCUGGAAGGGUCCGUAAAGCCCCUUUUAACAUUCAGAAGUCUUCAAGCGAAAUCUACACUGAGUAUCCAUAUGGUCUGGGCUCUCCCAUUUAAUCUCAACUCUAACACUGGAAGAAAGUCAGCACCUUAAACUUAAACUAACCCUUCAGUUAUUCAUCUAUGAGCCACAUCUACUAAAUUUAUAACACAAAGGAACACCGAAGCAGAACUUCAUAUGUUUUAUUUCAGCUUUAUUUAUUGCCUUUGUUUGAACUCAUCUCCCUUUGCGCAGCUCUUCAUUCAUCUAUGACCCAAAAAGUAUUGAAGAAAGUCAAUGUUGUCUUCCCUAUCCCAUUUACUUCUCCCCACAGCAUUGACCUCAAAGUUCAGUGUUGAUGUUCACAAAACAACAGCGAGCUCUACGAUGCCUUCUUAAUCUUCUUUUAGCUUUGUGUAAACUACUGUUUGAGAGUCAACAAAUUAUUACAUAUAUUUGCACCAAUCAGACUGAUCCAAAAUCAUUUUGCUUCAUGAUUAAUUGCAAAAUAUCAUUACACAUUUAGUUGUCUGGAUGCGGAAGUCACACAACACCAGUCUCAAUAUGUGUUAUUAAAAAGCAACAAAAAAUAUUCAAGCACCCACUAAUCAACAAAGUGAAUGAUUGAGCACUGGGAUGGCAAAUAUUGUGGGAAUGCAGAUUUUUGCCCACAAAGCCCCUGAAAAAGUGGAAAAAAACAGAAGUGCCUACUCCGUUUUUUCCGUGUUCUUUGUUUUGGGCUUGAUUGAGGUCGGCUGACCAUCUUAAAAGUAGCGGUUUUGAGACGAUCCCGAGGUAUACGGGCAAUAAGCUGUGAGAAUAACUUGCGGAGCGUGCUAGUAAACAGAGGAGUCGUUUCAGUUUUGUUUUAUGAAUGCUGUUUGUUGAUGUGUAUUAAAAAGAAUUUUAUUUCAGAUUGAUUUUAGUCAGUAAUUUAAUGGGUUACCAAUACAUUUAUAUGGUCAUUUAGGGAAUGAAUUAGGUAUCAUGAUAAGGUGUCACACAGCUAGAAGUCAUUUGUCAUGUGUCUUCAGGUCCACCUUUUUUGUGGAAUAAGAUCUGAUCUCGUUAACACCUCUGUCAAUUUUAAAUAAAGCUGUGCUGUUCUGCUAUGAAUGAAACGUG